rnacentral:rRNA from 1 species
AUACGUAGGGGGCAAGCGUUAUCCGGAUUUACUGGGCGUAAAGGGCGUGUAGGCGGUCUUGCAAGUCAGAAGUGAAAUUCCUGAGCUCAACUCGGGCGCUGCUUCUGAAACUGCAGGACUUGAGUGCUGGAGGGGAUAGCGGAAUUCCUAGUGGAGCGGUAAAAUGCGCAGAUAUUAGGAAGAACACCGGUGGCGAAGGCGGCUAUCUGGACAGUAACUGACGCUGAGGCGCGAAAGCGUGGGGAGCAAACAGGAUUAGAUACCCUGGUAGUCCACGCCGUAAACGAUGGGCGCUCGUCGUCGGCGGCAGACAGUCGGCGGCCAAGCGAAAGCGAUAAGCGCCCCACCUGGGGAGUACGGUCGCAAGGCUGAAACUCAAAUGAAUUGGCGGGG